rnacentral:rRNA from 1 species
CCACCUGUUCCCAUGCCGAACACAGCAGUUAAGCUCUCCAGCGCCGAUGGUAGUUGGACUGACGUCCCGUGAGAGUAGGACGCCGCCGGGC